GAUGAACGCUGGCGGCGUGCCUAAUACAUGCAAGUCGAGCGAACAGACGAGGAGCUUGCUCCUCUGACGUUAGCGGCGGACGGGUGAGUACCACGUGGAUAACCUACCUAUAAGACUGGGAUAACUUCGGGAAACCGGAGCUAAUACCGGAUAAUAUAUUGAACCGCAUGGUUCAAUAGUGAAAGACGGUUUUGCUGUCACUUAUAGAUGGAUCCGCGCCGCAUUAGCUAGUUGGUAAGGUAACGGCUUACCAAGGCAACGAUGCGUAGCCGACCUGAGAGGAUGAUCGGCCACACUGGAACUGAGACACGGUCCAGACUCCUACGGGAGGCAGCAGUAGGGAAUCUUCCGCAAUGGGCGAAAGCCUGACGGAGCAACGCCGCGUGAGUGAUGAAGGUCUUCGGAUCGUAAAACUCUGUUAUUAGGGAAGAACAAAUGUGUAAGUAACUAUGCACGUCUUGACGGUACCUAAUCAGAAAGCCACGGCUAACUACGUG
rnacentral:rRNA from 1 species